AAUUCUACACACAAGGAUUUCCUACAAAACAAUUAUUGCUUAGACAUAACCAAUAAUUUUGACUAAGACUGUGAAAAUAUAAAAUAUCCUUGCUUCUCCAGUCCCUGCCAAGGAAUUGCCACUUCUGUGAAUACCCCAGAAAAAAUGGGGUUCCCUGUGCUAAUGUCAUCUGGGGUACAGUGGAGUGACCUGUGAAACUGCCACUAAUUCCUAUGGAGAGAAUGCCUGUCAACAUGGAGGCAUCUGCCAUAAAAUCCUUGAGCACCCUGCCUAUAUUUACCCUGUUGAUAUGAUGGAAUGUUCUGUGAGAUGGAGCACAAUGAGUUUGCAUCCAUCUCUUGCCACAAAGGGGAUGUGUGCCUGGAAGAAAUCAAUGGCUACUCCUACUUCUGUAUGCCUGGAUACCAAAGCUGGCAUUGUCUUGGGAAAGUAGAU
rnacentral:lncRNA from 1 species